rnacentral:rRNA from 1 species
UACGGGGGGGGCAAGCGUUGUUCGGAAUUACUGGGCGUAAAGGGCCAGUAGGCGGCCAACUAAGUCCGACGUGAAAUCCCCAGGCUUAACCUGGGAACUGCGUCGGAUACUGGAAGGCUUGAAUCCGGGAGAGGGAUGUGGAAUUCCAGGUGUAGCGGUGAAAUGCGUAGAUAUCCGGAGGAACACCGGUGGCGAAGGCGACAUCCUGGACCGGUAUUGACGCUGAGGCGCGAAAGCCAGGGGAGCAAACGGG